GUUAUGGUGGUGUAUUGGUUAACACAUCUGUCUAGCAAGCAGAAGACCCUGGUUCAAGUCCAGGCUAUGACA